rnacentral:rRNA from 1 species
AACGAACGCUGGCGGCAGGCCUAACACAUGCAAGUCGAACGCUCGUAGCAAUACGGGAGUGGCGCACGGGUGAGUAACGCGUGGGCACCUGCCCGGUGGUCCGGAAUAACCGCGGGAAACUGCGGCUAAUACCGAAUACGCCCUUAGGGGGAAAGAUUUAUCGCCAUCGGAUGGGCCCGCGUAGGAUUAGCUAGUUGGUGAGGUAACGGCUCACCAAGGCGACGAUCCUUAGCUGGUCUGAGAGGAUGAU